UCCCUGGUGGUCCAGUGGCUAAGACUCCGCAUUCUUGAUGCAGAGGAGCCAGGUUCGAUCCCUGGUCAGGGAA